GCUUUGUCUUUAAAAAGAUAUAUUUGAAACAUGAACACAUAUGUACAUGUUUCAUGCUUACAUGUAUUAGAGAGUUAUCUAACCUGUUUAAAAGCUGAUAACUACUUAGUACUAUCAGAAUUUUAGUCUAUUUGUUUCUCUUUUUGUCCAUGAUUUAUCUUAUACUGGAGAGAGUUUGAAAAUUAAAUCUAUAAAGUUGGAUAAAAUAUUCAUAAUGCUUGCGUUGGUACAAAGCCAUUUUAAAAAUAAGAAGAUGAGGUAUGAUUGCCAAUAUGAAAACUCUCCCCAAUACAUGUACUUCACAUGACAUAUAAAGGAACUACUUUAAGUCACCAUACAACCUUACACAAUAAAACAAUCCCAUACUACAUAAUCAGCUAUAAAAGGCCAUGCAAUGACAAAUUUUAAACAAUUCUAAGGAGAAGACUGUAUACAACUACUGAAUUAUUGGUUAUACAGCAUUAAAAUACAACUACUGAAUUUAAUACUGGUUCCUGACUUGGGACAGGCACAUACAGAAUGUGGCAGGGAUAAACAAGAUUGAACUUUAUUAAAAAUUUACCCACUAUCAAACUAAAAAUGCCUAUUAUUAAGUGAACUCAGAUUACUCUGCUGUUUACAUAUUUGUUAAACUAUAAUUUGCUUCUUGUAGAAAUUAGCCUGUGAGAUCAAGAUGCAGAUAUCCACCAGAAACCAAAUGCCACACCAAAGCAGACAUUUUCAAAUGUUGAGGGACCUAUGAAUACAUCUACAUCCUUCAUUGAAAUGGACUUGGAAACAACUGAUUGAGUAUGUUAGCUUACAUUUAAUCAAUUAUGUUUGAACAGCGCUAUAUUUGAAAGUCAAUGACUUUUAUUAAAAAAAAGAAAAAAGAAAUCUAGAACUUUACAAACUUUUUUUUUAAUACCCCUAUUUAUAUACAAAAGAAGAUGUCAUAUGAUUGCCAAAGAGACAACUCUCCACAAGAAACCAAUUGACACAGAAAUUAACAGCUACAGGUCAUUGUAAGGCUUUCAACAAUGAGCAAAGCCCAUACCGCAUAUAUAUUUAGCUAUAAAAGGCACUGAAAUGACAAAUGAAAAAUUAUGCAUGGUGGGGGUGAAAUAAAAAGUGUCUUCUGACCCCUCUCCCCCUACAUUUAUUUUUGGAACAUCCCUCAGUGUUGUAACACAUAAACACAUUUGGUAGUCAGAUUGCUUUCAACCAUAUACUAUAUAGUGAUAUUUUCUUCUUCAGAAUGCUAAAUUUAAAAGUUUUUAUUAAUUUGUGAUGAAUUUUCUUUUUUACUUCCAGUUAUCUCUCAUAUCAAACAGAUAUCAUAUGAAACUGGC
rnacentral:lncRNA from 1 species